UAGUGCUCUCGGUGUGUCUCUCUCACUCACGCACACACACACAAACCCGAUCAGAUGCUUCAGGACCGGCCACUUUGCGAAGGGAACAACACGGGAGGGUUUGUAUUACUCCAGGUGUUAAUCGCGCAUCUGGGACUGCAAGCGACCAAUCUGGACCAACUUGUAAUUUACACGUUAACCUGCCGAAGAAGCAAACUCCCUCCAAAAAAAAAAAAUACAGACUUCAGGAAGGUUAGAUGCCUGACUUGCUCCCCCCACUCCAACACAGGGACUGGAGUAUGUUACUGCCGAGUUAUACUUUAACUUCUCCGCAGCAGGAAAAAGGAAUGGCUGAAGAUUGGCCCUCGCUGCGAACAGGAGCUUAAGGAUACAGUGGUGAAGCUAGAUUUCCCCUUUAAUCCCCACCUCCAAAUUUUCCCUGUGAGCCCGAGCUUUGGCGCAGGAUCUGAGAGGUAGGAAUCCUAUCUCUUCUAAGCUCCGAAUGAUUUGAAGGUUGUGUCAAGAAGAAUGGUCUCCGCAUGAAUACGACGGGGAGACAAAAAACCCCCACAAUCCAGCCUGUGACAGAGCAGGCGAUAGAAGCAGCCAGGCAGUCCAGAGAGGAAAACUGGGACUGGUGUUUGAGGUGGGAGCCUGGGACUGAUUAGGUAAGGAGAUGCAGAGGUUGUGCAGAGAAAGCAGAGAGAAACCGUUCGGUUGAAGAGCCUGGAGGGGAGAAAAGGGACUGGCAGGGCAAGGAUAGCAAAACCGACUAACGUCGUCAGCCAAGAGCAAGGAUGCGUAAUUGCAGGAUGUCCAGAGUAGCUGGGCUGAAUUUCAUUUGAAACAUGGUAGAAAUUCUGAAAGUCAAAAUGUUUUAUUUCACUAUUUUUAAGUGAUGCAGUUCAGCUGCAUCAUUAUGGCUUUUUAUUUGGAAUAGAGUCUGCUUUCUAAUGGUAGAAAAAGAAUUAAAUGACCUUCAAGAGAAGUAUUUCUGAGCUGAUUCAAAACAUUUUUAAAAUGAUUUUUUUUGUGUGUGUCGCCACCGAACUGAGGAGAUGUGUUGUAUAUUCAACACUAGCCGCAACAUCAGGCACUGGGAUGUUAAAGAAAUGACUAACCUGAGGGUUUCAGAGCACCUUGAUUCAGUCUCCGUACAUUAUGAUACAUGACCACACAGAUUUUAUUCCACAAAUUUCCUGAAGCAGAAACGAAACCCUGCAAGGUACCCUUCCUCUGGGGAGAGUUCAGAACUUUGUAGUUUUUAUUCACUAGAUUCCUGUCUAAUUUGUCAAGAAUUGGGUACGGUUCAUGUACAAGGUAGAGAAUUACAAGCAGAGAAAGCAGGGCUUUGUGGCAAGGCGAUAGCUGAAUUUUGCCUGCUGAGUUCGCUUCCACUCCCCUUUCACCUCAAAGCUUCUACAACGUGGGGAAAGUUGCCGCAAGAGGUAAUGAUUAACUGAGAUUUUCAUAUUAUGAGGGCCCAUCUUGAAAUUUUGGAGUUGAGUAGGCUGAAGUGAAUCACUCAGUACCACAGACAAAAUCUGUGGGACUGUGCAUUGACUACGCCAAGCGAUGCAGAAUGCCAAAUAGAUUGAAAAAUCAAGUAGACAGUAUCUCUAAUUGGAUACCCAAAAUUAGCAGGCAUUUUUUUAAAACUUUUAUCUCAUUUGUUCAGAAUACAGAUUUAUUAAAAAGGAUAGGAUGAUCUCAUCCCUUCAAUUUCAGGUUGUAAAAGAUGUUUGCUAAGCACCCAGAUACUAUAGCAUGGUAAGGAGAGGAACAGGAAAAGAACAACAGAGUUGGGUUCAGAUCAGGAUUUGUGUGCCCAGAUAAAACCUACAGCCCCAUACAGGUGAGCUUAACAGUGGAAACUAGCUCCUGAAGAAAGCUUUGCCCAUGUACUACUCUGAAUGCCAAAGGGGUGCUCGUGAAGAAGAUCAAGCAGAAAAGUCCCACUGCCCUGUCAAAUUGCUUUCACAUACCAUUGCGCAAGAGCGGAUGAAACAAAGGCUUUGUGAAGUUAUUCAUGAAAAGGGAGAAGGAGAGGGAGGAAAAAAGAGGGGAACAAGCCCAAGGUAUCAGAGAACAUGGAAAUAAGGUGCUGACCCAGAAAAGACCCAAGUGCAUGUCUCUACCGGUGAAAGCACUUGUAUCUGGGACACUUCCAUUUCAGGUGUACACCACAGCGACUUGCCUUUUGCUUACCGCACAGUCUCUUUCCCUUUGUUUUUUAAAGUCCUUCCAAUUGCUUCAGAACUAACAUUUUUCUACUACGUAGUCUGAAUUUUGAGGAAAACAGGUUUUUUCCUGGAAAAUUCUUGAUCAUCUCCAAGUACAUGAUGGUGUCAUUACAGGCUGACUGAUAAAGCAUCUGCACCAGGGUUUGGUACUGAGCAGUGUGAUUAGCUUUCAUUCUCUCACUUCCUACUGCUUCCUACUGGCUUUAAAUGUUUAUAGAGCCUGUAAUGCUCUUUUAAUUUCAGAGAGAGUGUGUGUGUAUGUGUAAAAUAUUAUAUGGCUACACAAGGUUUAUCCCUUACCUAAUUUAUUGCUGUUCUUGUUAAUUUCCAUUAAAAUAUAGGGUUUUGCAUUGGUUCUUUGAUUUUUCAUUCCUUAUCAAUUUUCAUUCCUUGAUUUUUCAUUUUAUUCAGCCCCACUGCAAGUUUAGUGGUAUUCGUGAUAUCUCACUUACUUUAACAUAUGUUUUUUAUUUUUGGGGAGUUGAGUGCUUAUGCAAGGUAGCAGGUUGAUAGCUUUUAGGCAGUAUUUCAGCUCAUCUGCUGAUCAGGUACAACACAGGUAACACCUCUGUCCUACCAAAGUUAAGCAUAUAGCAAAAUGGUGACUGAACUGGAGAGUCCAAGUACCCUCUGACUUUUUUUCUCAAUAAGCACAUAUUAAAUUGCUUAUUUAGUUGGUUACACCACCAGCACCUAUCCACGGGGAACUGGACUAAAAAUCUUCAAAUGAUUUCAGGUGGAUGGAUUUAACGUUAACAACCCAGAUUGCCCUACAUGGGGCUGGAUUUGAACAAACAAGAAGAAAAAACCCUACUCUUCAAGUUCUGUUUUCUGAGGUGCAACACAGAGAAGUUCCAGAAUCGCUCUCCCUUUUAGUGACAGCGAUAGGAAGUGCCAUCACCAGGCAUGUGGUCCUGACCUCAGUUGGAGGAUCCUUGGCCUGGAGUCAAGCAGUCACUGCACUCAAUGAAACAGCCAAAUUAACUGUCUGCUUAGCCAUGGAUUAAAACUCAUCCACUGAUCCAAGACAGUGAGACAAUAAUUUGCUACUCCUACUUUGCUUCACAGCAGAUCCUCAUGCAGAAUAAACCUGCAGUUCAGCAUCAGGUUUUAUGCCCAGAAAUAACCACAGUGGCAUUGUGAAAUUGUACCUGUAAUAACUUGAACAAAUGGGAUAAAUAAAUGCAAAUAUAAAAAGAGAAAACUGAUCCGGAUCUUAGUAACACAGAGACUGUACGAGAGCAGAGUAUAAAGACAGCUUCAGGAAUCCUGAUGCAAUCAGCAGUCACCAUUAUUUUGAUGGUGACAAAUAAAGUGCCAUUUCCUCUGAGCAAGGACCUCUUCAGCAUCGCUUUUACCACCACAGCCUAACCCUCUGCUUCUCUAACAAACCACAGGCUUGAUUGAAAUGUUAUAGAGUAAAUUGCUUAAUGCUGUCUAGAGACCUCAAAUAUGUGAAGUACCCGGUGCAUCAAAGAGAGAGCUUAUUUCAGAACCAAGCAUAACAAAACUGACCUGCUAGAGAACAGGGCAUCUGUCUUUUUCCCGUUGGUAUUAGAUGCUGCGCUUGGAUUUCGUAACAAAGCAACGUAUGCUUCCAAGUCCAUCAUUUUUAUACCAAUAUACAAGACAGAACGACUAAUAUAAUCUCACUUAUGCAAUGCAAGGGUGGCCAUCUGGCUGCUUAGGAGCUGAUUUUGACCCAGAUAACAGCAAAUGUUUUUGUAUCAGAGACAAAAGUUUUAGGUGUGACAUCCACAUCUCCAUUGAGCAACAUUAAUAAAACCAGAACAAACAAUUUCAAGAUGUAGUACAAGUCAUGUUGAUGGAAAACAGUAUAUUCACUGCUGUAUUUAUAUACCCUACAUUAUCAGCCUCUUUGCAGACCUAUAUUCCUUUCAUCAUGGCCAAUAAUAAUAGAAUAGAAAAAAACCAACCAACCAAACUUUUCUCAGUGUAUCUGACCUAGUCAAAGACCUAGUAUUCAUGUCAAUAAAGCUGUUCUAUUGCUUGUGAUGAUAAUCCUACA